rnacentral:rRNA from 1 species
AGUACUGUGAAGGAAAGGUGAAAAGGACCCCGGGAGGGGAGUGAAAGAGAACCUGAAACCCUGUGUUUACAAGCUGUGGAACAUCUUUAUAUGAUGAACCGCGUACUUUUUGUAGAACGGUCCGGCGAGUUACGCGUGCCGGCAAGGUUAAGCACUUAAGGUGUGGAGCCGAAGAGAAAUCGAGUCUGAACAGGGCGUUCAGUCAGCACGCGUAGACCCGAAACCGGGUGAUCUACCCAUGUCCAGGUUGAAGUUGCCGUAAAAGGCAAUGGAGGACCGAACGCACAUCCGUUGAAAAGGGUGGCGAUGAGGUGUGGGUAGGGGAGAAAUUCCAAUCGAACCCGGAGAUAGCUGGUUCUCCUCGAAAUAGCUUUAGGGCUAGCCUCAUUUUAGUCUUAUGGAGGUAGAGCACUGAAUUUCCGCGGGGGCGUCAAAGCUUACCAAAGAAUAUCAAACUCCGAAUGCCAUGUAGAUGAUGAACGGGAGUCAGACUGCACGAGAUAAGUUGGGCAGUCAAAAGGGAAAGAGCCCAGACCGCCAGCCAAGGUCCCAAAGUGUGUGUUAAGUGGAAAAGGAUGUGGGAUCUCCAAGACAACUAGGAUGUUGGCUCAGAAGCAGCCACACAUUCAAAGAGUGCGUAACAGCUCACUAGUCGAGAGGUCCUGCGCCGAAAAUGUCCGGGGCUGAAACACAACACCGAAGCUGCGGAAUUGCGAAUGCAAUUGGUAGAGGAGCAUUCUUAAUACCGACGAAGCUGUACCGGAAGGAGCAGUGGAGGGAUAAGAAGAGAGAAUGCCGGAAUGAGUAGCGAGAGAGAGGUGGGAAUCCUCUCGGCCGAAUAUCCAAGGUUUCCAGAGUAAAGCUGAUCUGCUCUGGGUAAGUCGGGGCCUAAGGCGAGGUCAAGAGACGUAGCCGAUGGACAACAGGUUUAGAUUCCUGUACCGCAUAUAAACAGAACUGUGGGGACGCAUGGGGAGAGCAUGGGCCGGGAAUGGAAAUACCGGUGCAAGCGAAGGAGGUGUGCAGCCGGCAAAUCCGCUGCAUGAGCCGAAAGCGUGACGCGGAGCGAAAUGAAAGUAGCGAAGCAUGUGAGCCCUGUGCCGAGAAAAGCCGCUAUAGCUUUAUAUGUGCCCGUACCGUAAACCGACACAGGUGGAUGAGGAGAGAAUCCUAAGGCCGGCGGAAGAAGUAUUGUUAAGGAACUCGGCAAAAUGACCCCGUAACUUCGGGAGAAGGGGUGCCCACGGGAGUGGGCCGCAGAGAAUAGGCUCAAGCAACUGUUUAGCAAAAACACAGGUCUAUGCGAAACCGAAAGGUGAAGUAUAUGGGCUGACGCCUGCCCGGUGCUGGAAGGUUAAGAGGAGAGGUUAGCGCAAGCGAAGCUUUGAAUUUAAGCCCCAGUAAACGGCGGCCGUAACUAUAACGGUCCUAAGGUAGCGAAAUUCCUUGUCGGGUAAGUUCCGACCC